rnacentral:SRP_RNA from 2 species
GCCAGGUGUGGUGGCUCACGCCUGUAAUCCCAGCACUUUGGGAGGCUGAGGCAGGUGGAUCACCUGAGGUCAGGAGUUCAAGAGCAGCCUGGCCAAUAUGGAGAAAUCCUGUCUCUA